GGGUCAAACCCCACAGCUGUAUCGUUAUCCCGUCUUCUUCGUCUUCUUCCUCUCUUUUCAUCUUCAUUCGCUUCUUCUCACAUCUGAAAUCCUCUUUCUGUUUCCAAUCGCGAGCUUUCACUUGUCCUCCCAUGGAUCAUCCACUGGAUCGCUGAGUCAACUCGCAGGUGCAGUUCUAUAAUCUCCAUCCUUUGGCAUUUCCGGAGUCCAUUCCUCAAUCCGCAUUCUGCCGCAGCGACACUAUUGAGAUCUGAUCGGGGGUUUCGAGCGAGGGCGUGAGCUAGGGUUUCGAAGAGCAUCUGACCAUGCCUUCGGUGCCCCUUGAGCUACUCCUCAGCCCUAUUAUGCCUUCUUUAGCUUACUUCCAUGGCGGUCUCUGCUCCCAUCGCCUGAAACACCUCGAGAAAAGUGAUCGGCGCGGUAAUCUUAGUUAACAUCAGGAUCAAUUCCAUCCCUCUCGUUGUUUUCUGUUCUUUUUAGCUGUUUCAGCCUUUCCACUUUGAUCUGUACUCGUCAUCUUCGAAGCCAAUCGAGCUUUCCCGUUGACAAAUUUUUGAUCGGGAGUAGGCGGAUCUCCACCAUCAGCUUCAUUAUCGUUGCGAUCGUAUAUAUUCCAUUGAUGGACGAAUCCUUUCCUUUUGAUGAGCCUCAUUUCGAUGCAUCUGACAUUUUGGUUAAAGAACUGGCCGGUACUCUGCGUACAUCUGUACGGAUUGCUGACGAUCACGAAAUGGCCGAUACCUCUGAUGGGGAGGAGGAGGAGGAGGAGCUUAAUGACUAUGAAGGGUGUGCAAUCACAUCUACUCAAAAGCAUCUGAACAGAUAUGUGAGCUUUCCAUCUCCAAGGAAGACGAUGUCUCCUUCAUCUUCUGAUAAAGAAGAUGAGGAAUCUGAGCCAGCGUUGCCGGAACUAUUUUCUGAAGAACACGCACCUUUAAAGCUUGUCUCUGCCAUGAAAGGUAGCCGUGAGAAACUAGGGGCAGCUCAGAGAAAGCUGAAGGUAACAUGGGCUCCCGAUGUUUACGACCCACCUCCGACAUCAGUGUCUCAUGUCGUGAGAAGGGGCACGAAGCAGCAGAAGCUGUCCAGGAAAGACAAGAGACAUGGCAAGAGAGGCCACAAGGGAAAGGACUUCUCUCGAGGCAAAGGGAGCAAGGACUGCUCAAAUGGGGCUACUGGGAAGGAUAAGAAGAAAAAGAAGAAGAAGCAAUUUGGCCAAACCCCUCCAAGCUCCAGUACUUGCUAUAAAUUGCUAGAUGCUAGUAAUAGUGUAAUGGAUCCCAAGCCAGAUCAGGUGGAGAACUUGGAUAUGGGCAUUCUGGACACCUCCUGUGGGAGCAGCUUCUUGAAAAUAUCUUUGACUAAGCCACAUUACCCUGUUGCAGAGGCACUGUGAGACAGCCAUCUCCAACCAGUACCUGGGCCAUCUUCCCAGAAGCUUGGAUUCCCAAGGGCUGCUCCAGUUUUGUUGAGGACUCUCCGGCCUCAUGACAGCUGUGAGGGCCGAAAGGAACCUCGACUCUUAGAGACCUCGGCCUCUGCCCUUGCCAGUGAGGAAGAACAAAGGUUUUGGGGACUUGGUUCUUCUGGUAUGCAGAUUCCCCAUCCUUGUGGGACCUCACCCACUCUGGCUUCUCGACGGGACGACAGGUUCCAAAGGGCAUCUCUCUUCGCACAUCAAAGCGAGGGGUUUGAACAGUCCUCGACGGAACCCCAAGUGGUUCUGCGACCAGCUUCUUGCUUGCGACUUUGACCACUUCCAGUAAUUCUUCCGUCACGGUCAUGUUCUCGUGUCCACGCCCCAUCAUAUCUUCCAAGCAGGGCGCUGCCUUGUCGGACUCCCCAUUCAUUUGGCUGCAACGAUCCGCUAGGUUUUGAUCCUCUCUAAAGUCUGCACGCUCUCUACUUAGCGUUGUCAGAUGAUCAACCAUGGACAGACGGCUGUUGCAUUUAUAAGGGGAUAUAGAUAGAUCCUAAUAUUACAGUUUACUAGUCGUCUCAUCUUCAAGAGAGAAGAGAUUCAGAAUAUUUAGUCGUCUUAUCUUCAAGGGACAAGAGAAAAUCUUUAGGAAAAAUUGUAGCGGUAGAAGGUCGUAAAUGCUAUCUAUCUUCAAGGGACAAGAGAUCAAGGGACAAGAGAAAAUCUAUAGGAAAAAUUGUAGCAGUAGAAGAUCGCAAAUGCUAUCUAUCUUCAAGGGACUAGAGAUUCAGAAUAUUUGGGAGAAAUUGUAGCGGUAGAAGAUCGAAAAUGCUAUUGAGCCUUCAGGUAUUGUAAUGAGAUGACUUAGUUUGAAAUAGGAAAUCCUUCUAUAAAUGAUAUCA